UAUUCCCUGCUUUGUUUGUGAUAGGUCUUUUUAAACCCACAUUUAUUAUAAGGGAUGCCGGAACUCUUCCUGUGAAUUGCAGGCCUCCCGAAUCGCGUAAGCGGUUUGGACGUUGGAAGCACGAAGCAAGAAGGAGGCGACCCACCUGCCCUCUGGUGCAGGUUAUAAAUGGGCUUACACGGCACGGCGGGGAUUUC
rnacentral:other from 1 species